AUAAAAGAGCCAAGGUUGCCUACUCCUGCAUUAAAGUCAGCAAAAUCUGUUAGAUUCAGUCCUGUUGAUUCAAAGGGAUAAAUCUAUUUCAAUGUCUACCCUAAACAUAGUCAGGUCUGCUUCCAACCCCUAACUUUAGAAAACAGCAGACUAUUAAGCUGCUUAAUAGUGCUGAAGCACUUCUAUAACAAGAGGCAAUCCAGCCAUGGUUUCCGUGCAAAAAAAUGAUAAAUAGGCAGCUUUAGUGAUUGGUUUGGUAGCUUCCUGGAGACCUUUGUGUGGCAUGGGUGUAGGUCACAAAGGUGGAGGAGCAGGUGCCCUUUGAUAGGAGGAUAAGGGAGGUGGGUCAUCUCCUUGGGAAUUCUAAUGGCUUUAUGAUUUCAGCCCUGCAGGCUAAAGUGUCAGUUACUGUCAGUUAUCAGUGUGAAGAUGCCUUCCUAGAGACCUUAUGACCAUCAUUCUGGAGCUUCUGCAGGACUUGCUUGAAUCCACCAAAGCUGGGCUGCCCCAUCCCAAACACUGCAUAUCCUCCUUUGGCCUGCCGAAAGUUGGGAGCCCCACAAGUGCUGGAAGUAUUCAGGACAUCUAAUAUGCCGUAUACAUCACGGACCAUAAAAUAUUUCCCCUACACGGAACAGUAACAAAAAAUGGAGAGAUGUCAAUGUGCAGCAGAAGGCAGUAACUGGAGCUUUCAGACUGUGUUCAAGAAAAACCUGAUGAUUCCUUGGACAUUCUUCACAAAACUGUGAAUGAAAGGCAUA